GCCCCCAUAGCUCAGUUGGUAGAGCACCUGACUCUUAAUCAGGGUGUCCUUGGUUCGAUCCCUAGCGCGGGCA
rnacentral:tRNA from 1 species